CGGCCACAUUGGGACUGAGACACGGCCCAGACUCCUACGGGAGGCAGCAGUGGGGGAUAUUGCACAAUGGGGGAAACCCUGAUGCAGCGACGCCGCGUGGAGGAAGAAGGUCUUCGGAUUGUAAACUCCUGUUGUUGAGGAAGAUAAUGACGGUACUCAACAAGGAAGUGACGGCUAACUACGUGCCAGCAGCCGCGGUAAAACGUAGGUCACAAGCGUUGUCCGGAAUUACUGGGUGUAAAGGGAGCGCAGGCGGGAAGACAAGUUGGAAGUGAAAUCUAUGGGCUCAACCCAUAAACUGCUUUCAAAACUGUUUUUCUUGAGUAGUGCAGAGGUAGGCGGAAUUCCCGGUGUAGCGGUGGAAUGCGUAGAUAUCGGGAGGAACACCAGUGGCGAAGGCGGCCUACUGGGCACCAACUGACGCUGAGGCUCGAAAGUGUGGGUAGCAAACAGGAUUAGAUACCCUGGUAGUCCACACCGUAAACGAUGAUUACUAGGUGUUGGAGGAUUGACCCCUUCAGUGCCGCAGUUAACACAAUAAGUAAUCCACCUGGGGAGUACGACCGCAAGGUUGAAACUCAAAGGAAUUGACGGGGGCCCGCACAAGCAGUGGAGUAUGUGGUUUAAUUCGACGCAACGCGAAGAACCUUACCAAGUCUUGACAUCCCUUGACGAUGCUGGAAACAGUAUUUCUCUUCGGAGCAAGGAGACAGGUGGUGCAUGGUUGUCGUCAGCUCGUGUCGUGAGAUGUUGGGUUAAGUCCCGCAACGAGCGCAACCCUUAUGGUCAGUUACUACGCAAGAGGACUCUGGCCAGACUGCCGUUGACAAAACGGAGGAAGGUGGGGAUGACGUCAAAUCAUCAUGCCCUUUAUGACUUGGGCUACACACGUACUACAAUGGCGUUAAACAAAGAGAAGCAAGACCGCGAGGUGGAGCAAAACUCAGAAACAACGUCCCAGUUCGGACUGCAGGCUGCAACUCGCCUGCACGAAGUCGGAAUUGCUAGUAAUCGUGGAUCAGCAUGCCACGGUGAAUACGUUCCCGGGCCUUGUACACACCGCCCGUCACACCAUGAGAGCCGGGGGGACCCGAAGUCGGUAGUCUAACCGCAAGGAGGACGCCGCCGAAGGUAAAACUGGUGAUUGGGGUGAAGUCGUAACAAGGUAGCCGUAGGAGAACCUGCGGCUG
rnacentral:rRNA from 1 species